UAUGGUCAUAUCACAUUGAAACAUUGGUUCCCAUACAAUCACUGAAGUUAAGCAAUGCCAAGCCUGAUCAGUACCUAGAUGGUUGAUCAUUUGGGAAUACCAGGUACUGUAAG